rnacentral:rRNA from 1 species
GUCUUUUUGAUAGAUAAUUUAAAGUCUAAUCUGCCCCCUGAAAUUAUUUUAAAGGGCUGCGGUAUCUUAACCGUACAAAGGUAGCAUAAUAAUUAGGUUUUUAAUUGAAAUCUUGAAUGAAUGAUUGGACGAGAUAUGGGCUGUUUUAAAAUAUAAAAUAGAAUUUAAUUUUUUAGUUAAAAAGCUAAAAUAUUAUUAAAAGACGAGAAGACCCUAUAAAUCUUUAUAAUACAAUUAUUUUAAUAAGUUAUUUUAGUUAAAAUUUAUUUAAAUAAUGAAUUUAUUUUAUUGGGGUGAUAUAAAAAUUUUUUAAACUUUUUAUUGUUUAUUUACUAAAAUUAAAGAUUUUAUAAAAUGAUCUAUUAUUAAUAAAUAAGAGAAAAAGAUACUUUAGGGAUAACAGCGUAAUUUUAAUAUUAAGUUCAUAUUAUUAUUAAAGAUUGCGACCUCGAUGUUGGAUUAAAAUUUAAUUUAAAUGCAAAAGUUUAAAAAUUAAGUCUGUUCGACUUUUAAAAUUUU